rnacentral:rRNA from 1 species
GACGAACGCUGGCGGCGUGCCUAAUACAUGCAAGUAGAACGCUGAAGGAGGAGCUUGCUUCUCUGGAUGAGUUGCGAACGGGUGAGUAACGCGUAGGUAACCUGCCUGGUAGCGGGGGAUAACUAUUGGAAACGAUAGCUAAUACCGCAUAAGAGUAGAUGUUGCAUGACAUUUGCUUAAAAGGUGCAAUUGCAUCACUACCAGAUGGACCUGCGUUGUAUUAGCUAGUUGGUGGGGUAACGGCUCACCAAGGCGACGAUACAUAGCCGACCUGAGAGGGUGAUCGGCCACACUGGGACUGAGACACGGCCCAGACUCCUACGGGAGGCAGCAGUAGGGAAUCUUCGGCAAUGGACGGAAGUCUGACCGAGCAACGCCGCGUGAGUGAAGAAGGUUUUCGGAUCGUAAAGCUCUGUUGUAAGAGAAGAACGAGUGUGAGAGUGGAAAGUGCACACUGUGACGGUAUCUUACCAGAAAGGGACGGCUAACUACGU